GACGAACGCUGGCGGCGUGCCUAAUACAUGCAAGUAGGACGCUGAAGGAGGAGCUUGCUUCUCUGGAUGAGUUGCGAACGGGUGAGUAACGCGUAGGUAACCUGCCUGGUAGCGGGGGAUAACUAUUGGAAACGAUAGCUAAUACCGCAUAAUAGUAGAUGUUGCAUGACAUUUGCUUAAAAGGUGCAAUUGCAUCACUACCAGAUGGACCUGCGUUGUAUUAGCUAGUUGGUGGGGUAACGGCUCACCAAGGCGACGAUACAUAGCCGACCUGAGAGGGGGAUCGGCCACACUGGGACUGAGACACGGCCCAGACUCCUACGGGAGGCAGCAGUAGGGAAUCUUCGGCAAUGGACGGAAGUCUGACCGAGCAACGCCGCGUGAGGGAAGAAGGUUUUCGGAUCGUAAAGCUCUGUUGUAAGAGAAGAACGAGUGUGAGAGUGGAAAGUUCACACUGUGACGGUAUCUUACCAGAAAGGGACGGCUAACUACGUG
rnacentral:rRNA from 1 species